AUUAAGAUGGCUGAUUCAGGUGGUAAACUGUAAAUUUACUUAGGAAAUAAUUAUUUCUCUUAAUA
rnacentral:tRNA from 1 species